AAUUGAAGUUUGUAAGCGUACGUUUGUGUUGUCGAUGUUAAAGCGGGUGCGUUGUUCGUCAUCGUCGUUGUUGUUUAUAAAUGAGAACAAAACGUGUGACGGCCGAAACAAUUAACAAGAAAAUAAAAAAAAACGAAUAAAAUACAACAAAUCCCCAUAAUAAACAACAAUCAACGACGGGUGAAAUAUAAUCGACUACCUUUCGGUGGGAAUAAAUUGUGAUUCUGUGUCAUUAUUUAAUUAAAUCGGGAAUAAUUCUAUGGAAAAGUGAUGAAAUAGAAAUAAAUUGCAUAGCUAUAAUAAAAAUCAUAAUAGAAAAGAGAGAAUCAAUGCUAAUUCUAAAUCAAAGCCAAUGAGAAGAAAAUUAAGAAUGUGAUGAUGAUUUUCGGUAUUUUUUGAAAAAAAAAGCAGGUUUAGUGAUAAAGUGUUUUUUCCUGUGUUUUCGACCAAGUAGUUUGUGAAAAGCAAAUUGGAAAAAUAAAGAAAAAAAUUUCCAAGAAAUCAGGAAAAAAAGUGAUUCCUUUGAAAGGAAAGUGUCCAAUUGAAGUGAGUGUCUGUCGUGUAACAAAUUGAAGUUGAAUUUAAUUUGGUGGCGAACGAGUAACACCACACGGUUACUCCGGCUAAACUGGCUGGCUGGCCUGGUGUAAAUCUUAAACAACAAAAAAAGCAAGUUAAACAUGGAGUAAAUAAAAAGUGAAGUUUUGGAAAAUCUAAAUAUAAAAAGUAUUGAAAAUCAAGGAAAUUUGUGCAAAUUAAAAUCGUGUGUUCCCCCACAAUUCCUAAAAUUGUUUUUGGAUUACUUUUGUUUUUUCGCCUUCUUCAAAUCUCCCAUCUUAUCUGCUGCUCCGCACAAAAAAAAAUCAGAUAUUCCUCGAUUUCAUUGAAGACCUUUGGCUGAAAAUUAUGGAUUAGCACCAAGGGAAUUUAUCCACAUAACUCUAUCCCCAAUAUUAUCGAUACUCGGGGAUAAGUUAUCAAGGACAAUAAGAAGGAGUCUUCUCUUUUCCUCAAAAAUGUUUGGCUGUUUCGCAAAGCAGUUUUAAUACAUUUCAUUUCCGAUUUUUUUGUUUUGGUUAUCAAAACUUUCCAAAGGGGGUGAAACAACAACUGCCAUUAAAUACUCCAAAUAAAUUGUAGAAUUCCACGGCGAAGGCUCAUCUCUCGCAAUAAUUGCACAAAAAUCGCUGAAGUUCAUAUACCAGAAACAUUCCCAUCAGCAGCAGCCACCUCAACCCCUUCGCCAGACCGAAACAAUUUCAAUUUUUUUCGCUUCGUUUUGUUUUCUUCCUCUCCUUUUUUUUUGAUGAUUUUGGAAACAAAGGAAUUUCUCUUCCGUUUCUGGUGGUUAUAUUACGCAUACAAGAGCCAUAUAACAAUAAAGGGUUAUUUUUCCAGAAUCCAACACAAAAUAAAGUCGUAAAAGGAAGGCAGGAGCCAAACCUGCAAGCCCCUUGUUGCUAUUAUAGCUUUCAAUUCCAAGUUAUUUUGGUUUUCAUUGCAAAAACCACAAUUAAAAAAUCCAUGCAAUACCCAUCACCACCCUAAAACCACAGCACAGGAACCAUUAAAAAAAAAAAAAAAAAAACAAAAUUAAAUUGAAAAUACGCAAAACCGGUUAAAUCAUAUCAACAACGGAAUUCGCGUUGCGCGUCAUUUUCGUUAUCACGUUACGUCGUUAAUGUUGCUGCUGCGCCGCAGUCGUCGCUGCCGCCGCCCCUUAACGCGUCCCAUUAUCGUCUCGAAAUAAUUGUAGCAUCUCCUCCCUCGCAGAAAAAUAAACCAAACAUCGCCACCAUUAUCGCGUUCAACAUUUUCGGAUUUAUUCAGCAUCACCACCACCACCCCCACCACAAAGAAUGUCAUCGACAAAAUGUGGUCUAAGAAUGAUUUUCACAGCGAUCAGUCUUGUCAUCAUCGUAAAUGGUUACGCAAAAGAUAUUUCUGGAGUUGAAAGAGGUAUGUAUGUGUGUGUUCGGGUCGUUUAAUAUUCACCGAAUUCCAAAAGAGAAGGGAACAGCCAUACUUUUGUGAAUUGCUGUUUCCUGGCAUUGCUUUACUGUUCACUUCCCGUGAUAGUCGGGCUAAACUAUGAACUAUAGACCAUAAGAGUCCUUUAAAUUUCCAUAAAAGAAAUACCACUCUUUUUUUCUUCCAACAACUUUGCAAUAAUUCCCUCA
rnacentral:sRNA from 1 species